rnacentral:rRNA from 1 species
AUUGAACGCUGGCGGAAUGCUUUACACAUGCAAGUCGAACGGCAGCACGGACUUCGGUCUGGUGGCGAGUGGCGAACGGGUGAGUAAUGUAUCGGGACGUGCCCAGUCGUGGGGGAUAACGUAGUGAAAAUUACGCUAAUACCGCAUACGAUCUAUGGAUGAAAGCGGGGGAUCGCAAGACCUCGCGCGAUUGGAGCGGCCGAUAUCAGAUUAGGUAGUUGGUGGGGUAAAGGCCCACCAAGCCAACGAUCUGUAGCUGGUCUGAGAGGACGACAAGCCACACUGGAACUGAGACACGGUCCAGACUCCUACGGGAGGAAGCAGUGGGAAAUUUGGACAAUGGGCGAAAGCCUGAUCCAGCCAUUCCGCGUGCAGGAUGAAGGCCCUCGGGUUGUAAACUGCUUUUGUACAGAACGAAAAGGUUUCUACUAAUACUAGGAGCUCAUGACGGUACUGUAAGAAUAAGCACCGGCUAACUACGUGCCAGCCGCCGCAGUAA